GGGCGCAAGCCUGAUGCAGCCAUGCCGCGUGUAUGAAGAAGGCCUUCGGGUUGUAAAGUACUUUCAGCAGUGAGGAAGGUGGAUAUGUUAACUAGCAUAUUCAUUUGACGUUAGCUGCAGAAGAAGCACCGGCUAACUCCGUGCCAGCAGCCGCGGUAAUACGGAGGGUGCGAGCGUUAAUCGGAAUUACUGGGCGUAAAGCGCAUGCAGGUGGUUUGUUAAGUCAGAUGUGAAAGCCCCGGGGCUCAACCUCGGAAUUGCAUUUGAAACUGGCAAACUAGAGUACUGUAGAGGGGGUAGAAUUUCAGGUGUAGCGGUGAAAUGCGUAGAGAUCUGAAGGAAUACCGGUGGCGAAGGCGGCCCCCCUGGACAGAUACUGACACUCAGAUCGCGUAAAGCGUGGGGAGCAAACAGGAUUAGAUACCCUGGUAG
rnacentral:rRNA from 1 species